rnacentral:rRNA from 1 species
GACGAACGCUGGCGGCGUGCCUAAUACAUGCCAGUUGAGCGCUGAAGGUUGGUACUUGUACCAACUGGAUGAGCAGCGAACGGGUGAGUAACGCGUGGGGAAUCUGCCUUUGAGCGGGGGACAACAUUUGGAAACGAAUGCUAAUACCGCAUAAAAACUUUAAACACAAGUUUUAAGUUUGAAAGAUGCAAUUGCAUCACUCAAAGAUGAUCCCGCGUUGUAUUAGCUAGUUGGUGAGGUAAAGGCUCACCAAGGCGAUGAUACAUAGCCGACCUGAGAGGGUGAUCGGCCACAUUGGGACUGAGACACGGCCCAAACUCCUACGGGAGGCAGCAGUAGGGAAUCUUCGGCAAUGGACGAAAGUCUGACCGAGCAACGCCGCGUGAGUGAAGAAGGUUUUCGGAUCGUAAAACUCUGUUGGUAGGGAAGAACGUUGGUGAGAGUGGAAAGCUCAUCAAGUGACGGUAACUACCCAGAAAGGGACGGCUAACUACGUG